UACACUCCUGCGGGAGGCAGCAGUGGGGAAUUUUGGACAAUGGGCGAAAGCCUGAUCCAGCAAUGCCGCGUGAGUGAAGAAGGCCUUCGGGUUGUAAAGCUCUUUUGUCAGGGAAGAAACGGUGAGAGCUAAUAUCUCUUGCUAAUGACGGUACCCGAAGAAUAAGCACCGGCUAACUACGUGCCAGCAGCCGCGGUAAUACGUAGGGUGCAAGCGUUAAUCGGAAUUACUGGGCGUAAAGCGUGCGCAGGCGGUUUUGUAAGUCUGAUGUGAAAUCCCCGGGCUCAACCUGGGAAUUGCAUUGGAGACUGCAAGGCUAGAAUCUGGCAGAGGGGGGUAGAAUUCCACGUGUAGCAGUGAAAUGCGUAGAUAUGUGGAGGAACACCGAUGGCGAAGGCAGCCCCCUGGGUCAAGAUUGACGCUCAUGCACGAAAGCGUGGGGAGCAAACAGGAUUAGAUACCCUGGUAGUCCCA
rnacentral:rRNA from 1 species